rnacentral:SRP_RNA from 1 species
GCCGGGUGAGGUGGCGCGUGCCUGUAGUCCCAGCUACUCAGGAGGCUGAGGCUGGAGGAUCUCGAGUCCAGGAGUUCUGGGCCGUAGUGAGCUAUGCCGAUCGGGUGUCCGCACUAAGUUCGGCAUCAGUAUGGUGAACUCCGGGGAGCGGGGGACCACCAGGUUGCCUAAGGAGGGGUGAACCGGCCCAGGUCGGAAACAGAGCAGGUCAAAACUUCCGUGCUGAUCAGUAGUGGGAUUGCACCUGUAAAUAGCCACUGCACUCCAGCCUGGGCAACUCCAUAGCAAGACCCUGUCUCU